UGCUCCUAGUACGAGAGGACCGGAGUGGACGCAUCACUGGUGUUCGGGUUGUCAUGCCAAUGGCACUGCCCGGUAGCUAAAUGCGGAAGAGAUAAGUGCUGAAAGCAUCUAAGCACGAAACUUGCCCCGAGAUGAGUUCUCCCUGACCCUUUAAGGGUCCUGAAGGAACGUUGAAGACGACGACGUUGAUAGGCCGGGUGUGUAAGCGCAGCGAUGCGUUGAGCUAACCGGUACUAAUGAACCGUGAGGCUUAACCUUACAACGCCGAAGGUGUUU
rnacentral:rRNA from 1 species